rnacentral:tRNA from 1 species
GGAGAGGUGUCCGAGCUGGCUUAAGGAGCACGAUUGGAAAUCGUGUAAGUCGUUAAAGCGGCUUCGGGGGUUCGAAUCCCCCUCUCUCCGCCA